rnacentral:rRNA from 1 species
UACGUAGGGUGCGAGCGUUGUCCGGAAUUAUUGGGCGUAAAGGGCUCGUAGGCGGUUUGUCGCGUCGGGGGUGAAAACCCAGGGCUUAACCCUGGGCUGGCUUCCGAUACGGGCAGACUAGAGGUAUGCAGGGGAGAACGGAAUUCCUGGUGUAGCGGUGAAAUGCGCAGAUAUCAGGAGGAACACCGGUGGCGAAGGCGGUUCUCUGGGCAUUACCUGACGCUGAGGAGCGAAAGUGUGGGGAGCGAACAGG